rnacentral:rRNA from 1 species
UGGGGAAUAUUGCACAAUGGGGGAAACCCUGAUGCAGCGACGCCGCGUGGAGGAUGACGGCCUUCGGGUUGUAAACUCCUUUUGUCAGGGACAAUGGUGAUGGUACCUGACGAAUAAGCCACGGCUAACUCUGUGCCAGCAGCCGCGGUAAGACAGAGGUGGCGAGCGUUGUUCGGAAUUACUGGGCUUAAAGGGCGCGUAGGCGGUGGUGUAAGUCUGGGGUGGAAUGCUACAGCUCAACUGUAGAGCUGCCUUGGAAACUGCAUUACUUGAGUCGGUGAGGGGGAGGCGGAAUUCCUGGUGUAGCGGUGAAAUGCGUAGAUAUCAGGAGGAAGGUCUGUGGCGAAGGCGGCCUUCUGGCAGUUGACUAACGCUGAGGCGCGAAAGCGUGGGGAGCAAACAG